UAAUCAUGUGACAGUGUGUGACAUCACAAAGAAGACCCCUUGAAGACCCUCUAUCAAUGUGAUGAGAUGCCAUUGUCUAAUAAGGAGAGGGCUGCACGGCACAGACAAAAGAUCAAUGCAGAUCCAGUUGCUAGGGAGGAAAGACUAGCCAGAAGAAGAGCAAGCUAUCAGAGAAGAAAGA